CUCUCUCUCUCUCUCUCCUCCUCCUUCUGCAGCACAACAACAAACACGGUGUAGUAAAGGCAGGCUCCCAGGGCAACAGGAAGUCCCCCUCUAAGGGUCUCACCCAGAAACAACCGGCCAAGAGUAAAGAGGAGUACAGUAAUGUGUGGCAGUCUCUGCAGAGCUGUGGCCCUCCACACAAACCUCCUGCUCACUGGCACAAUAAUGAUAAACAGGGUGGGAACCAGCGCC